UACAGAGGUCUCAAGCGUUGUUCGGAUUCAUUGGGCGUAAAGGGUGCGUAGGUGGCGCGCUAAGUCGGGUGUGAAAUUUCGGAGCUUAACUCCGAAACUGCAUUCGAUACUGGCGUGCUUGAGUACGGGAGAGGAGAGUGGAAUUCCCAGUGUAGAGGUGAAAUUCGUAGAUAUUGGGAAGAACACCGGUGGCGAAGGCGGCCUGCUGGGCAGUUUUGCUGACACUGAGGCGCGACAGCGUGGGGAGCAAACAGG
rnacentral:rRNA from 1 species